rnacentral:rRNA from 1 species
GAUCCUGGCUCAGGACGAACGCUGGCGGCGCGCCUAAUACAUGCAAGUAGAACGCUGAAGGAGGAGCUUGCUUCUCUGGAUGAGUUGCGAACGGGUGAGUAACGCGUAGGUAACCUGCCUGGUAGCGGGGGAUAACUAUUGGAAACGAUAGCUAAUACCGCAUAACAGCAGUUGUUGCAUGACAACUGUUUAAAAGGUGCAAUUGCAUCACUACCAGAUGGACCUGCGUUGUA